rnacentral:rRNA from 1 species
AUACGUAGGGGGCAAGCGUUAUCCGGAUUUACUGGGUGUAAAGGGAGCGUAGACGGUGUGACAAGUCUGAUGUGAAAACCCGGGGCUCAACUCCGGGAUUGCAUUGGAAACUGCCAUACUUGAGUGCAGGAGAGGUAAGCGGAAUUCCUAGUGUAGCGGUGAAAUGCGUAGAUAUUAGGAGGAACACCGGCGGCGAAGGCGGCUUACUGGACUGUAACUGACGUUGAGGCUCGAAGGCGUGGGGAGCAAACAGGAUUAGAUACCCUGGUAGUCCACGCGGUAAACGAUGAAUACUAGGUGUUGGGGGUCUAUAGACCCUCGGUGCCGCAGCAAACGCAAUAAGUAUUCCACCUGGGGAGUACGUUCGCAAGAAUGAAACUCAAAUGAAUUGACGGGG